rnacentral:tRNA from 1 species
UGUGGUAUGGUGUAAUGGUAACACGACAGACUUUGACUCUGUAAUUCCAUGUUCGAAUCAUGGUACCACAA